rnacentral:lncRNA from 1 species
CCUUGCCUUCCUCUCUGACUCUCGGGCAAUGGGGAACUACGGAAAAGGAAGAGGCAGGACUUCAAACAAAGGAUCUCAAGCCCGCAACAAUACUAUAGAAAACUUUCCCGUGAAGAUGGAUUCUUUCCUCUCCUUUCUGUGGAUCUCAUCUCUCUUUUUAUCGUAGGUAAAUGAAAUUGUUGUUUUUUCUUCGGAAGUGGUUUUGUCGUCUUCGGCUUAGACUUUAGUGUUGACCUGUCUUUUCAGCGUAGAAGCUUGCAGGCAGGUUCAGGAGCCACGUUAUGUCAUGGAGGGUCUGGUUCGGAUGGAUGAAUUAUGUUGCAGCCAAUCCCUUCAUCGUCUGGUCGUCAAAAAUGAGCACCUGCAAAAGGAGUCCGCACUGAUCGAAGAUAUCUCUGGUGGAAACCCUCCGACGAUCAAAUCAGAGAGGAGAUUAGGCAACAAUAGAAAAGAAUCAAGGAACCCAACGAAAGAG